GCAGGACUAGGGGUGUUAUCUCCUAGGAGAGCCCCGAAUCUGGAUAAGAUUCGCAGGCGCAUGCGGUCUCGCUCACUCCUGCUUCUAGAGCCCGGCGACGUACUCUUGUCCCCAACCAUGAUAAGCCACCCCCUGGCAUAUGUCGCACGAUAUCCCCGACAAUUUGUGACUUGACAGCUUGAGCCUGUAUGAUCUAUAAUAUAUGUCCAACUUUAGAUGCAGAGGGACUGAAACAUACAUAAUGAUGUAUGGACAAUUCUCUUUACUUUAUUCUAAGUUGAACUAGCACUUCGAGCCACUAAACUAUUAUACUUUGUUCAAUAAUGCCCUUGUUCUAUCAUUUUGUUGAUUUCUGCCUUCAAACUAUUUGUUUAUGUAUAAGUGGGUCUUUCGAUUGCUAGAAUUAAUAAUGUAUGGGCUUGCUUGGACAAAUUCGAAAUGACUCAGGGCACUAGAUGUACUUUUCCCUUUCCCUAAUUAUUUCUGAAGCUAAAAUAUCUCACCAAAGUUCCUAUUAACUUCAGUUAUUUCAUCAUAUAACCUCAACUUGAAAACGAAAUUUGUGACUUUUCUUGUUUAUGCAAUAUGUCCAGUUUAUCUACAGAAGGGAUUUAGCAUGCUGCCCCAUAUUUGGCAAAUUUAAAACUCUGUUACUCAACGAGUGGUGUGCAGCUAUUGACCUACGUGCAUUAGUUUGCAUUCUCCAGCACUCGCCUAUUCUUGAGAAGCUGACACUUCAGCUUCAUAGGGAUAAGCGGCACCACUUCAAUGCUGUACGGGCCGAAGGAAACCAUGAUCUGACAGAAUCAUUUACAUGUGCUCACCUUAAGACAGAUAUCAUUGAACGUCCUCGCAAACGGAAUAAAGAGAUCAAUGAGAGGGCUUGGGAAAUUUCAAAGAUCUUAAACUAAAAAGAAACGAAGGGAGUACAUACGGCAUACGCCCUGAACAGAUUACCUUCAAGCGCACACGAUCAAAAGAUUGCCUCUUCAGCUGGGAGAGGUCAUUACACACCAUAUAUUCGUCCGCUCGUUAUGAUUCCUACCCUUACAUCCACUGAUGACAACUAAGAUCAAUGCAUGUUCGCUCGAGAUGAUCUUGUUCAAGGCAUCUGUGUAAUGCUGGCUGUUAUCGCUCAGUCUGUGUUAUCUUGACUCUUUGGGUCUGUUGUUAAGCUGGAAAUAUGUCCUUGUUGAUUGACCAUCUGGUACAACCAAGUGAGACGGUUUACGAGUUGUGCUUAUGACGUUGCCAAAUCAUUGCUACAUAGUAUAUUUUUCUCACUGGUAAUGGAAAUAUUUUUGGGCGUUCAUAUUUUCUUUAAUGGAUCAUCUGAUUGAUGGAUCAUGUCGGUUGACAUCAUCCGAAGUAGGAGUAUAUUCCUUU